GGGGGGGGGGGGGGGGGGGGGGGGGGGAGGCAGGGGGGGCGGGGAGGCCCGGGUGGUGUGGGGUGCUCGAGUGGCGGGCGGGUGAGUGACGCGUGAGUCACCGGCCCUUGCCUGUGGGAGAACUUCGGGGACGUGGGGCUCAUACCGGAUCGGAGCUCCUGCUUCCUGGCUGCUGUUGGAACGUUUCGUCGGUUUGGGCUGGAUGCUCGGCUUCUCCUCUUGUUGGUGAGGUAGUGGCUUACCAAGGCUGUGACGGGUAGACGGCCUGAGAGGGUGACCGGCCACAGUGGGACUGAGAUACGGCCAGGACUGCUACGGGAGGAAGCAGUGGGGAAUAUUGAAAAAUGGGCGGAAGCCGGAUGCAGCAACUCCGCGUGAGGGAUGACGGCCUUCGGGUUGUAAACCGCUUUCGCCUGUGACGAAGCGUGAGUGACGGUAAUGGGUAAAGAAGCACCGGCUAACUACGUG
rnacentral:rRNA from 1 species